rnacentral:rRNA from 1 species
ACGGGAGGCAGCAGUGAGGAAUAUUUCACAAUGAGCGAAAGCUUGAUGGAGCAAUGCCGCGUGCAGGAUGAAGGCCCUCGGGUUGUAAACUGCUUUUAUAAGAGAAGAUUAUGACGGUAACUUAUGAAUAAGGGACGGCUAACUACGUGCCAGCAGCCGCGGUCAUACGUAGGUCCCGAGCGUUAUCCGGAGUGACUGGGCGUAAAGAGUUGCGUAGGCGGUCAAGUUAGCGAGCGAUGAAAACUAUCGGCUCAACCGAUAGCUUGUUGUUCGAACUGCUUGACUCGAGAGUAUCAGAGGUCGCUGGAAUUCCUAGUGUAGCAGUGAAAUGCGUAGAUAUUAGGAAGAACACCGAUGGCGUAGGCAGGCGACUGGGAUAUUUCUGACGCUAAGGCACGAAAGCGUGGGGAGCGAACCGGAUUAGAUACCCGGGUAGUCCACGCCGUAAACGAUGGAUACUAGCUGUUGGAGGUAUCGACCCCUUCAGUAGCGAAGCUAACGCGUUAAGUAUCCCGCCUGUGGAGUACGGUCGCAAGACUAAAA